ACCUACAAAGUGAUGUGAAAGUAGUAACUGAGGAUACGUGAGGAUUGCAAACCAGUCUCCCUGGAUAUUUAAAGCAUAUUUAAAGGAGUUGACGGACAAUUUGAUUGAAGACUUUAGCUUCAUGAAACUAGCUGAUUUGAGCGUAACAAAUAAGGUUUUUACUGCGUUGCAACUGGCUCCAGACUGGAAUUUAUAACCAAGACUAAAUAUUCAAGUGCCUAUGUGAAGUACCUACUUAACAACAAGUUGUAUUAAGAUCUUAUGAAGUUAAUACCUACAUAAGAAACUAAAUUGGCAUAUCAUUCUGCUACUGAAUAAUCAGAAAGCAGUUUUUUAGCUAAUAGAAGAGAAGCUUAUGCUUGAUAUUUCUGAACACUGAUAAUAAUUGUGAUGUGAUUUAAUAUAUGAUACUUAAUAAACACAAAAUACAGCAAAAACCAUGUUUCAUUUCAUUAUUUAAAUGUUGAUGUUGCACUUGACUAAGAGGUCAUUCAUGAUACUAUUGAUUUAUAAAGGCUUGAUAGGAACUAUUCCUUCUUAAGAGUCCGGCAAUGAUAACAUUGCAACAUGGAAGAAAUUGUAUAAGUAACAUUGUAAGUUGUACUUUUAAUAUAUGGAUACCUACCAUAUCCUCCUCAUUCCUUAGCAGACUUGAGGCCCUGUAUACUUACUUUUACCUGUUGCAAUGUAAUACCCUUGUAAUCACCUACUGAGUAGAGUGGCAAGACAGUACUCUUGGCUGAUCUUAAACCAUUCCGUAGAUCACAAUUUAACAGUGCUCAGCGGAGGACACUGUCUCGGGCCACUCUACUUGGUGGUGUAAUCAGGGUGUUAGCAUUAUCUGCUUUAUGAAGAUUAGGUAGACACAUUUUUUAUGUUUAAAGCAGGGUUUACUUACAUGAUAACAUUGUGUUUUUACAUAAGCAGACACUUGGUCCAUGCAUAAUGUUACAACUCUUAUUACUAGUUAUUACUGCUUUUUCUUAGAACUGCUUUAAACAUAAAGAAUAAAAAAUAAAACAGCCGCAUUCAACUUUUAAUAUGAUUAAUACAUUACGAGUAAUCGUUUAUAGAGUUUACAAUGCAUGAGUCUAAUAAGUACACACCUAAACUAUGAUCACUUACGACUUACGAACUUUUGGAUUUCGAUAUGAUUAUGGAAUUGUAUUAAGUAUGUGGUUGAAAGCACGAUCUUAGAGUAUGGGUUUGCACUUAUUAUUCAGAAAUAUUAUCACGGUACAAGAUAUUUUCAGUAUUUCACUGUAAUUGUAGGUUAUGUUGAGUAUUUUUUCAAUAAAUUUCCGCCUUGAGUUAAAACUUUCACAAGAUAUUUCCUUGGCUAUACGGUGACACGCAACGUCUUCUUCUUCUUUCUGUAAACAAUGAUUGAUAGUUUAAUAUCUAUAACUUUGUAACAAAUUAUCGUAAUAUUUUAUCGGUCUAUUUUAUAAAUCGAGUCGAUCUGAGUCUGCAACUUAACCACUCCAUCAGAAUACUAUACUUACGUCAUAUUAUUAUGUAUUUAGUGCACAAAUAUCUAUUUAAAUAAGGAAAUUCCAUUUGUAAUUUUGUUUUAUCAUUGUUAUUGUAUGUUGUAUGAAUGAAGUGGAGGGAGUGUUUUCACAGGUUCACAGAGUAUUUUCAUUUUUAGUUUGAAUGCGUUCAAAAGCCCCUAAUUUCAUAUUUUAACGUUUACAAAGUUAAGUUUUUGUGAAUAAUAAGUAAAAAAUGGCAUGAGUGAUGACUUUAACCUAGUGUUUAAUAAGUAUUUUAAUUAAUAUUUUACUAACAUUGAAAAAAUAAAAACAUAAUAUGGACUGAUGA